UAUCCGUAGGUGAACCUGCGGAAGGAUCAUUACUGAGUGAGGGCCCCUCGGGGUCCAACCUCCCACCCGUGUUUAACGAACCUUGUUGCUUCGGCGGGCCCGCCUCACGGCCGCCGGGGGGCAUCUGCCCCCGGGCCCGCGCCCGCCGAAGCCACCUGUGAACGCUGUCUGAAGUAUGCAGUCUGAGACAAUUAUUAAAUUAAUUAAAACUUUCAACAACGGAUCUCUUGGUUCCG
rnacentral:misc_RNA from 1 species